GUGCUUGCUGUGAUAGCUUUUACACUAACAUUGAAUUGAUACAGAGAAGAUAAGCAUGAUCCCUGAACAAGGAUGACAUGUAAGUGUGUGAAGUGUCCCAAAUGUUA
ensembl:snRNA U6 U6 spliceosomal RNA